AGCUACUCCCAUGUCUCUUGAUCUCUUAACUGAGAUGUUGCUUGAUUGUGAGACACGACAACUAGAUCUUUUAACAGAAGCACCUUUGCAAGCAAAUAUGGUUUCUCGUUCAAAACAUGAUACUACUAACAAUUCGAAGCAUGUUGAGUCUUCAGGAAGUUAUCAGCGAGAGUAUAAACCUAGUUAUCAAGGUAGUGGUCAUGGCUAGUCUCG
rnacentral:lncRNA from 1 species